rfam:Salmo salar isolate Sally breed double haploid chromosome ssa07, whole genome shotgun sequence.
UAGCUCAGUUAGUUGAGCACGGCACUUGCACUGCCAGGAUCGUGGGUUUGAUUCCCAC